UGCCACUCCCACAACACAGACAUACACAGAGAAACAAACCGGGAAGCACAGUAGACACGAUGGAAACAGCACUGAGGCACACGAGCAUUUCUAAUGUGGUAUUCUUGCCGUUUAUUCAUGGCUCACUCUUUAUAGCACUCUCAUGCCUGUAGGUUUAUAUAGAGGUGGAGCCACGAGUUGGUUAGCCUAGCCUAGCAUACAGACUGAAAUGAAUAACAACUCCUCUGAGGCUCACUAAUUAAUAUGUUGGAUCUCAUUUGUUUGGGGUUAGGCUUGUUAGGGAUUGUUAGUAUUUUGAAGUUCGGGCAGGUCAGCUUUCUCCAGUCUAAGUGGCUAAGCUAAGCUAGCUACAUAUUUAGCAUACAGACAUGAGAGUGGUUUCUCUUCUCAUCUAAGUCUUGGCGAUAGUCUGAUUUGAUUGUGAUAAAUUAUGGGGAAAAUGCUGCACACCCACAUUAAACUACCCCAACUUUUUUUUUACAUUGGACCAAGAUAGGAACAGCAGUUUUAUUGUUCCUUUGUUUCAUGUUUAAAGUAGAUAUUGAAGAAAUAAAGAAGUUUGUUUAAUUUACAGUGAGCUUCUGGAGACCUUUUCAUCAUAAGAGCCCUUUUUAAAUAUUUCAAUAUGGUUCCUGCAGGAGAAAGUACUGAUACUGUGAUUGCUUAGUAAGUUUCACACACUUAGACUUAGUUAACGUAGACUCUUCUCCUCUGCAUUAGAGUUGUGCCAGUCCAUUAGAAGCUCAGUUUAUCAAAAGCAAAAGGGUCUGUGAGUAUCUGACAGUGCAUGAAGUCCCAUCAUUGUUUUAAAAUACCAGGCUUCCACGACAACUCCAGCAACAAAGUCGAACGAGGUGUAGGCCGAUACAUUACUUGAAUAACAAGGAUUGGAGUCUGAGAAAUAAUUUCAUUCAUUCACUGAAGCAUCAGAAGAAAAAACCAGAGCGUGUACGCAGUGUGGAUGUACCCCAACACACCUUUGAGCAAUCAUCAAAAGGGACCAGCUGAAUGGAAGCGUCGAGCCUGCAAGAAGGCCCCGUCCAAUCACAGGGCGCGGACAGGCGUACCAGCCCGAGAAAGAGAGAGCCAGAGCAGCGGGAGAGAAACUGUUGUUCGGAAAUUGCAUUACAGGAAUAUGUGAUAUAACAAUAGGAAUCCGUCUGGCCGAUGUAUUCUGUCUAAAUGUCAGAGAGGCAUUCUUGGUUGCCUCAUGCAAAGUUAAAAGUGUAAAGAUUUUUGAAGAAAUUAUUUAGCUGGUACAUGGUUGAAAAUUCUGCAUAGCAAGCACCACUACUAACCCAUACUGUGGACUGAGAGUUACAAUCUUUUUCCUCAGCACAAAACAUUUUCUGCACUCAGAAGGUAAUGAAGAGAGAGAAAGAAAAAAAACUUCAUAGAAGGAAUCCUUUAGGAAACUGUUUUACAAUGACAAAUUUAUGGGAUUUUUCAAUUGUCUGCGCGUAACACCAUGUCCUAUGUAGAAGGCUAUAUUUGAGCCAUCUCCCACAGCAAUAGCUCAAUUUAAUAGAACAGUAACUGGAUACUAGCCUAGAACACUGUUCAAUUUGAUUAUGCAGUUCAUGGGGACUGCAGACUUUGAUAAAGGAUUGAGUUAUUUUGCAGGGAGCUUGAAAUAAUAAUCCUCUGCUAAACCUUCAUGGCCUCCAGGCUCAAACUUUUAAUAACGUUAUGAGAGAGAUGAGAAUAGUGCAUCACUCCAGGCCUGAUGCGGCUCUGCUCAGCCGUCCUGUACAAUAGUGUCUUCCCGUAGCUGUUGCUGCUCUUGUAUGAUGGGUUGUUUGUUUUUGUUUGUUGGAAGGCUUCUAAGCCAUCCAGGAAUUUGCCCUUGGGUUUAUUUUAAAAGUCGCACUUAAAUAACCUGUGCCAUGAAUCAUAGUGGUGAGUGGUUACAAAGACAGUAGUUCUUUGUAAAGGCCACACAAUCCCUAUAAUAGUUGUGGAGCUUGUUAUUAAAAAGAAGAAGACAACAUAGAGGUUAGAGGCUUCACAAGCUGCAACCAAAUGCAAAAUUAAAAAAGGCUGGGAUGAGGGCACAUAAGGGAGAUAGUGACAUAAACCGGCUGAAACUGCCUUGAACUGCCACUGGGGGCUCAUAAAAACUGAAUGGAUACUGUGCUUUGUGUGAAUUAUUUAAAUCUGUAGAGCAAAGACCAUACAGAUGCUGCAUUCUCAAUGAGUAUGUGUGGGCGGGAACAUCAUCACUUACAUGACAAGCAAACUGCAACUACAGAAAAGAUCAGUAGAAACCCAAGAUUUGAUGAUUUAAAGAUGAAAUAAGUGCAGAUAUCUAGGUCAAAAUGUGGUACUAUAUUUUAUACUGUAUUUAUACUAAAUCUAAUACUUAUAUUUAUGUUAUAUUUAAAAUAAAUGAUUAUUAUGUUUAAACAUGCUGUUAGAUUUACAACAAAAUAUGUAAUUUAAAGGAAUGUUUCAGCAUUUUUAGACACAGCUUAUUUGCUAACUGAAAGUUAGAUGAGCAGAUUGAUUCCACUCUCAUGUCAGUGUGGUAAAUAUGAAGACAUGUUAGCAUAGCUUAGCAUAAAAAACGAAUUAACUAUUCCUGUCCACCAUCA
ensembl:lncRNA